ACAAACGUUUUGUGCUUUUAAAAUAAUCAUCGUAAAAUAUCAAAGAGCAGAUCGUGUUCGUUUGCUUGUGUGUGGGAACACCAGACGUCCUUCCCCUGACACCUUAACCGUCUCAUCUGGGAAACUAUUAAUAUGACAAAGAGCUGUCAGGUCUGAAAACACAGACAGGGCAAACAGAGAAUAAAUGCAUCUGCGCUGAGUGAGAAAAGCCUCCGGUGAUGAGGGCCGUGAUGGACAGAGUGGUAAUUGUGCGGUGGACCGGAUGCGUUUCUUCACGCCGGCGUGUGAUGGGCGCUCUUUCCUCUGGAUCUGGCGCCGUGUCUGCGCCCUGAGCUGAUGUUUACCCUGCUCUGAGUUUGCUUUGACUGUCGAUCUGAGUGGGAAAUAUAUUGCGUGUCAAGUGCUCUCCUGGGCUAAACUAUCAUUUCAAAGUGUUAUCACACGAUCUGACUCCCAGAGGCCCGGCAUACGGAGCCGUUGGAAAAGCUCCAGAGUUUUGCCGAGCUGAGCGUAUGCCAGAAGCAGUGGCGCGCUAGCAAGUGCACCGUGGAUGCAAAUGAUGGCAGGUGGUGAAGGUAACAUUCCAAUAAACUACAUUAUUACUCAAGUCUUGCGUAACUUUGGCAAAGAGAGAGGGUUCAUCCGAGUGAAUCUCUUAUUUUUUGCAUUUUCCACAAGAAAUUAUUAAAAAGGGAGAUAUCG